rnacentral:lncRNA from 1 species
CCCUGAAUUGCUGAUGAUUCCAAAGAUGGGCUCAUCUCGAUGAGAGGAUGGAUUGGUCUUCAGCCUCCUUAACCUCUAAACGCCAGUGGGGAAAAACCAGAAAGUCAGUGUGUGCUACAGCCUCUCCCUGUGCCCCUGGGACUUCAGUCACCUUUGGCUAUAAGACCUUGGGCAAGUCACUUCAACCUUCUGAUCCUUAUUGUCAUCUGUAAAUGAAGAUCAGAAUAAUACAAUCCUGGAUUCAAGUGAUCCUCCUGCCAUGGCCUCCCAAGGUGCUGGCAUUACAGGCAUAAGCUACCGCACCCAGCCCCCAGGACAAUUCUUGAUGCCUGGAUUUGUGAUCCUGAGUGUGCACAUGCUGACUUACUGUCCUUAGGCCUCACUAUAUUGCCCAGGCUUGUCUUGAACUCCUGGCCUCUAAUAAUAAUAGUAGUCGUCAUAAUAAAUGUAAUUAUUAAUUAUUAUUAUUGUUAUUAUUAAAGCUCUCUAAAUGGCAUUUUACUCUGUGUAAACCAGGGAAGAGGUGAAGGAGAACCCAGUGCUCUAGCUGUGGCCCACUGCUGUGAUGUUGAUGAGCAGCCUCCUGGGCUCCUCUAGUGUCCUCCAAGUCCACAGUUCAAGCAGGUGAAAGUCUGUGGACUGCAGUUGCCAUGGUAAGAGCACUCUUUGUCCUCAGAGCUGGUGCAGGGGUGGCAGGGGUGGUCAUAUAAAUAAAUUAGGUGCCCAACCUCUCUCCCUGCCUUCUCUAUCACCUCACCUAUUUUUCAAGUUACUGAUUAAACCUUCUUGGACUUGAAUCCCUGGAGAUAAAGCCUCAGAUUUUAUGACUUACAUGUGAUUGCGUGCCGUGAAAUGUUAGGGUUUGUGCAGUGAAAACAGUUCGUGCAUUCAUUCCAUCUAGGGAAGUCCAGUUUCGUCCACACCUGGAGAUUUGAAAACAAAAGACUCAGCUGGGCGCAGUGGCUCACGCCUGUAAUCCCAGCACUUUGGGAGUCCAAGGCAGGCAGAUCACGAGGUCAGGAGUUCGAGACCAGCCUGACCAACAUGGU